CCUACGGGAGGCAGCAGUGGGGGAUAUUGCACAAUGGGGGAAACCCUGAUGCAGCGACACCGCGUGGGUGAAGAAGCGCUUCGGCGUGUAAAGCCCUAUCAGUGGGGAAGAAAAAGGACGGUACCCAAAGAAGAAGCACCGGCUAAAUACGUGCCAGCAGCCGCGGUAAUACGUAUGGUGCAAGCGUUAUCCGGAAUGACUGGGUGUAAAGGGAGCGUAGACGGUUGUACAAGUCUGAUGUGAAAGCCCACGGCUCAACUGUGGGAGUGCAUUGGAAACUGUAGAACUAGAGUAUCGGAGAGGCA
rnacentral:rRNA from 1 species